CUAAACUAGGAUUAGAUACCCUAUUAUUUUAGAGGUAAACAUUGUUAGUAAAUAAAAAUUACGAAAGCAAAAAAUUAUGGCGGUAUUUUAAGCUUUUCAGAGGAAUUUGCUCUUUAAUGGAUAAAACACCUAAAUCUUACUUAAAUUUGUAAAUUCAAUUUGUAUACCACUAUAAAAACAAUUAAUAACUUCAAUUGUUAAAAUUUAUUAAAUUAAGUUAUAUUAAGUCAAGGUGCAGUAAAAAUUUAAGAAUGAAGUGAAUUACAUUUCUUUUUAGAGAGAGAGAAAUUUAAAUAACAUUUAGGAUUUGAAAGUAAAAUUGAAAUAGAAUGUCAAUUUGAAUUAAGCUCUAAAAUAUGUACAUAUCGCCCGUCACUCUUUAUUAAGAUAAU
rnacentral:rRNA from 1 species